rnacentral:rRNA from 1 species
GCAGGUGCGAAAGCAGGUCAUAGUGAUCCGGUGGUUCUGAAUGGAAGGGCCAUCGCUCAACGGAUAAAAGGUACUCCGGGGAUAACAGGCUGAUACCGCCCAAGAGUUCAUAUCGACGGCGGUGUUUGGCACCUCGAUGUCGGCUCAUCACAUCCUGGGGCUGAAGUAGGUCCCAAGGGUAUGGCUGUUCGCCAUUUAAAGUGGUACGCGAGCUGGGUUUAGAACGUCGUGAGACAGUUCGGUCCCUAUCUGCCGUGGGCGCUGGAGAACUGAGGGGGGCUGCUCCUAGUACGAGAGGACCGGAGUGGACGCAUCACUGGUGUUCGGGUUGUCAUGCCAAUGGCACUGCCCGGUAGCUAAAUGCGGAAGAGAUAAGUGCUGAAAGCAUCUAAGCACGAAACUUGCCCCGAGAUGAGUUCUCCCUGACUCCUUGAGAGUCCUGAAGGAACGUUGAAGACGACGACGUUGAUAGGCCGGGUGUGUAAGCGCAGCGAUGCGUUGAGCUAACCGGUACUAAUGAACCGUGAGGCUUAACCUUACAAC